GUGAGUUUUAAAUUUAUAAUUAAAUUUGCACACUGUGACUAAUUUCAGUCAAAACAUGACUCAUGAAUUAUUUAAGUGAAACAUUUUCUGCUAACCUAGUGUUUGGACAUUUACUUUGAGCAUCCUCCAAAAAUAUCUCUAUUUACAGGCAAUCAUCGCAGGAAAAGUGUCAUCCACCUGGGCUUCAUCAAAGGGCAGGGUGGACAUUUUCUUUGAGGAGGAUGAGCAGCUGGAGAGAGUGAUGGGCUUCUUGACGAGCCUGGUUGAAGCACAGACAACCAGAUGUCACAAUCAAGUGGCAUUCAUGAUGGAUGUGCUUCUGCCAGAGGCAACCAUCCAUGCGCUUUCAGCUGUCCAUGAAUGUUGACGGACAAAGCCACAGAAAUGUACGGCAGUGGGCUGCAGUAUGACUGGAGUGAGAGGCAGCUGAUGUCCUAUGCCAUGGAAAAAAACAUGAGCAAGGAGGCUAAACAGAAACUGUUCAUAUACACGGAGAAAUUCAGAAAAGCUCUGGACUCAUCUGAAUUUUUG